rnacentral:rRNA from 1 species
CCUACGGGAGGCAGCAGUAGGGAAUUUUCGGCAAUGGAGGAGACCCUGAACGAGCAACGCCGCGUGAACGAAGAAGUUAUUCGUAGUGUAAAAUUCUUUUAGCAGGGGAGAAAGGGAAGUUAGGCGGGACCUGAAGAAUAGACUCCAGCUAACUACGUGCCAGCAGCCGCGGUAAUAAGUAGGGGUCGAGCGUUAUCCGGAAUUAUUGGGCGUAAAGGGUGCGUAGAUGGGAUAGGAAGGCGGCUGUAAAAAUGCUGGGCUCAACCCAGUAGGGCAAAAGAUACUGCAAAGCUAGAGUAUGCGAGAGGCAAGUGGAAUGAGUUGUGUAGCGGUAAAAUGCGUAAAUAUAACUCAGAACUCCAGUGGCGAAGGCAGCUUGCUGGCUCGCUACUGACAUUGAGGCACGAAAGCGUGGGUAGCAAACAGGAUUAGAUACCCCAGUAGUC